rnacentral:piRNA from 1 species
AUGAACUCUUGAUGUCAACAGUUGUGGUUUC